rnacentral:rRNA from 1 species
GACGAACGCUGGCGGCGUGCCUAAUACAUGCAAGUUGAGCGGUGAAGAUUGGUGCUUGCACCAAUUUGAAGAGCAGCGAACGGGUGAGUAACGCGUGGGGAAUCUGCCUUUGAGCGGGGGACAACAUUUGGAAACGAAUGCUAAUACCGCAUAAUAACUUUAAACAUAAGUUUUAAGUUUGAAAGAUGCAAUUGCAUCACUCAAAGAUGAUCCCGCGUUGUAUUAGCUAGUUGGUGAGGUAAAGGCUCACCAAGGCGAUGAUACAUAGCCGACCUGAGAGGGUGAUCGGCCACAUUGGGACUGAGACACGGCCCAAACUCCUACGGGAGGCAGCAGUAGGGAAUCUUCGGCAAUGGACGAAAGUCUGACCGAGCAACGCCGCGUGAGUGAAGAAGGUUUUCGGAUCGUAAAACUCUGUUGGUAGAGAAGAACGUUGGUGAGAGUGGAAAGCUCAUCAAGUGACGGUAACUACCCAGAAAGGGACGGCUAACUACGUG